GGUGGAUAUAGCACAGGUGGUGGUGGUGGACAAGGGGUCUCCACUGGAGGUGGCUUCACAACGGGAGGACUUGGGUAUACAGGAGGCGUUGGUGUUGGCGGCUUCACAAUGGGAGGACUUGGGUAUACAGGAGGCUUUGGAACUGGCGGCUUCACAAUGGGAGGACUGGGGUAGACGGGAGGCUUUGGAACUGGCGGCUUCACAAUGGGAGGACUGGGGUAGACGGGAGGCUUUGGCGCUGGCGGCUUUACAAUAGGAGGACUGGGGUAGACGGGAGGCUUUGGUGGUGGUGAAAUGACUGGGGGUUUAGGAUAGUGAGGUGGUGGGGGAUUAACGACAGGAGGUUUGGGUACAUGAGGAGGCUUUACGACGGGAGGGUUGGGAGGAUGAUGAGGCGGAUGUUUUGGUGGUUUGGGGUGAAAUGGGGGCUUCACAAUGGGAGGAUGUUUGGGUGGGAAAGUUGGAGGACAGUUGGGUGGAGGAGUUGGACGGGGACAUAGAGGACAAGCAAAAGAAGCAAG
rnacentral:lncRNA from 1 species